UGUGUUCUGCCACCGGGUAGAAUCAUGCCGGAAAGGCAUUCGUCUGCACAUCGUUAGGUCUUUGAAGAUGUGUAUACGGAUGCCUGUUUUAU
rnacentral:ncRNA from 1 species